UAAGAACCGAGUUGUGCUUGUCUUAUUACUUUCAGAUUAAGAACUGAGUUUCCAUUGCAUAUAUACACGCCGGAUUAAGAACCGAGUUGUGUUGCCUUUACAUGAUGUUAAUAAUAUAUUCUGUUCACAGGGUUUCCUGAUAAGCACAUUGUACCUGAAUCUUGUGGUAUCCAUGGUAGUGUAAUUAAUGUGAUAUCCACAAAUGAAGUGAUUUCCGUCACUUAAAGUAGGUCGCUGGUGAAAUUACGGUUUCCAAUAGAGCGGAGAGAGCAACUGUUCGGAAUGCCUAGCUGAACGAAUGCAUGCUACAAGCUGCGCGACAACCUUGUCAUGAAGGGCCAACUUCUGCGGUCGUUGCGCUGACAGCCACGAAAGAAGCCGUAUCACCGUGGCUUUCGUAUGAAGAUUUGAUAUGGUAAUGUGUGUUGUCUUAUAGCAAAAUUGGUGGCUAGUACACAUUGAUUAUUACCAUUUAUUAAUUUUAUCAUGUUGAUAGAAAAAAAUAAUCAGCGGUUGUUAAAGGUCCUGCCAAGGAACAGCCAUGUAUUCUGCUUAAUAUAUAUUAAAAAAAAAAAAAAAAAUACAUGACAAUAUUUUGUAAUGUCUUGAUUGUCAUUGUUUAUUACUAAAUUAUUUAACGGCUAUGUAAGCCGGAUCUGUAAUUGAGAGCACCUACUAUGCCAAUUGUAAAUUAAUUUCUCGUAACCUUAUCAUGUUACUUGAACGACAGUUGUGUUGUACUGAUUCUAUCACCUACUGGCUUAGUUCCAAGGAAAAAUUAUCACGCUCUCGUUACAUUAAGGAACUUAGUAUUUCCCAUGUAUGUUACAGAGCUUCUUAACAAGAGCUUGUGCUGUGUUGGAAGGUGGCUAUGAUCACGCAUAGGGUGUGUCAUGUUAACCUCUCACGAGUUGUACGCCUUCUUGCGCAUGUGGGGAGCUUCACAGCCUACAGUGACGAAGCCAACUGUGAGUUUGUUCCAUGUAUUUGCUAUUUAAACGACGCCAAUCAUCAUUAUUAUAUUGAGCGGUUGGUUAGUUUGGAAUGCACCGCUCACGUAAGUCUUAACUUAAGGCAUAAAUGGCAUAAUACUUGCCUGAAAAUAAAUGAAAUGUAUUGAUGGGU